rnacentral:rRNA from 1 species
AGUGAGUGGCGAACGGGUGAGUAACACGUGGACAACCUGCCUCAAGGCUGGGGAUAACAUUUGGAAACAGAUGCUAAUACCGAAUAAAACUUAGUGUCGCAUGACAAAAAGUUAAAAGGCGCUUCGGCGUCACCUAGAGAUGGAUCCGCGGUGCAUUAGUUAGUUGGUGGGGUAAAGGCCUACCAAGACAAUGAUGCAUAGCCGAGUUGAGAGACUGAUCGGCCACAUUGGGACUGAGACACGGCCCAAACUCCUACGGGAGGCUGCAGUAGGGAAUCUUCCACAAUGGGCGAAAGCCUGAUGGAGCAACGCCGCGUGUGUGAUGAAGGCUUUCGGGUCGUAAAGCACUGUUGUAUGGGAAGAACAGCUAGAAUAGGAAAUGAUUUUAGUUUGACGGUACCAUACCAGAAAGGGACGGCUAAAUACGUGCCAGCAGCCGCGGUAAUACGUAUGUCCCGAGCGUUAUCCGGAUUUAUUGGGCGUAAAGCGAGCGCAGACGGU